rnacentral:rRNA from 1 species
CAGAGGGUGCAAGCGUUAAUCGGAAUUACUGGGCGUAAAGCGCGCGUAGGUGGUUAUUUAAGUCAGAUGUGAAAGCCCCGGGCUUAACCUGGGAACUGCAUCUGAUACUGGAUAACUAGAGUAGGUGAGAGGGGGAGUAGAAUUCCAGGUGUAGCGGUGAAAUGCGUAGAGAUCUGGAGGAAUACCGAUGGCGAAGGCAGCUCCCUGGCAUCAUACUGACACUGAGGUGCGAAAGCGUGGGUAGCAAACAGGAUU